GAAGCUUUUCCUGACAUUUGUCACAUUUUCCAAUGUUCUUUUAUAAAAAGAAAUAAUCAAAUGCUAUGAAAUUGAAUACAACUUGUGAAGAGCAUUGUAGGGAGCCAUCCAUGUUAUUUCAUUUAAAAAA